UACGUAGGGUGCGAGCGUUAAUCGGAAUUACUGGGCGUAAAGGGUGCGCAGGCGGUCUCGUAAGCUGGGUGUGAAAGCCCCGGGCUUAACCUGGGAAUGGCAUUCAGGACUGCGAGGCUUUGAGUGUGGCAGAGGGAGGUGGAAUUCCACGUGUAGCAGUGAAAUGCGUAGAGAUGUGGAGGAACACCGAUGGCGAAGGCAGCCUCCUGGGCCAACACUGACGCUCAUGCACGAAAGCGUGGGGAGCAAACAGG
rnacentral:rRNA from 1 species